rnacentral:rRNA from 1 species
AUACGGGAGGCAGCAGUAAGGGAUAUUGGUCAAUGGGCGAAAGCCUGAACCAGCAACGCCGCGUGGAGGAUGAAGGCCUUCGGGUUGUAAACUUCUUUGGAGGGGGACGACAACGGACGGUACCCCUCGAACAAGUCACGGCUAACUACGUGCCAGCAGCCGCGGUAAAACGUAGGUGGCGAGCGUUAUCCGGAUUUACUGGGCGUAAAGGGUGUGCAGGCGGAAGCUCAAGUGGUGCAUGAAAGCUCCCGGCUUAACCGGGAAAUGGUGUGCCAGACUGAGGUUCUAGAGGAUGGGAGAGGGACGUGGAAUUCCGGGUGUAGUGGUAAAAUGCGUAGAGAUCCGGAGGAACACCAGAGGCGAAGGCGGCGUCCUGGCCCAUAUCUGACGCUCAUACACGACAGCAUGGGGAGCGAACGGGAUUAGAUACCCCGGUAGU